UAAAAUGCGAUGAAAGGAAGAGUACUUUUUAUUGUCUGGUUCCAGAGAACUCCCGCACCGGUGAAAGGGAGUGCAGAUGAGAAAAGGAAGAUGGUCCUGGAGCUGAUUGGCUGAAAUCACAGUAGGCCGUACGGGUGUGCCCGUUAUUGCACUGGGGAAUCCGGCUUUGGCCGCGUUUCCAAGAGACCUUGCCCAAGGGCAAGGUAAAGCUGGGUGGUACCACGAUGCUUUCGUCCCUGCA
rnacentral:ncRNA from 1 species